GACAGGUGCUGCAUGGCUGUCGUCAGCUCGUGUCGUGAGAUGUCGGUUAAGUCCGCUAACGAGCGCAACCCUCGCUGUGUGUUAUAUGUGUCACACGGGACUGCCGGUCUUAAGCCGGAGGAAGGUGGGGAUGAUGUCAAGUCAGCAUGGCCUUUAUAUCCUGGGCUACACACACGCUACAAUGGCCAACACAAUAGGUUGCUAAGCCGCGAGGUGGCGCCAAUCCAUAAAGUUGGUCUCAGUUCAGAUUGUAGGCUGCAACCCGCCUGCAUGAAGAUGGAGUUGCUAGUAACCGCAGGUCAGCUAUACUGCGGUGAAUACGUUCCCGGGGCUU
rnacentral:rRNA from 1 species